rnacentral:rRNA from 1 species
UACGUAGGGGGCAAGCGUUGUCCGGAAUCAUUGGGCGUAAAGCGCGUGUAGGCGGCUCGAUAAGUCUGCUGUGAAAGUUCAGGGCUCAACCCUGAAAUGCCGGUGGAAACUGUCGGGCUAGAGUCCGGAAGAGGCGAGUGGAAUUCCUGGUGUAGCGGUGAAAUGCGCAGAUAUCAGGAGGAACACCAAUGGCGAAGGCAGCUCGCUGGGACGGUACUGACGCUGAGGAGCGAAAGCGUGGGUAGCAAACAGG